GCCUCGAUAGCUCAGUUGGUAGAGCGCAGGUUUGAAGAACCUGGCGUCACUGGUUCAAUUCCAGUUCGAGGCACCA
rnacentral:tRNA from 1 species